rnacentral:tRNA from 1 species
GUCCACUUACUCAAGUUGGUGAAGAGGAAAGUUUGCUAAAUUUUUAGGUCAAGUAAUUGAUGCAGAGGUUCGAGCCCUCUAGUGGACG